AUUGAACGCUAGCGGGAUGCUUUACACAUGCAAGUCGAACGGCAGCGCGGACUUCGGUCUGGCGGCGAGUGGCGAACGGGUGGGCAAUGUAUCGGAACGUGCCCAGUAGCGGGGGAUAAGUACGCGAAAGCGUAGCUAAUACCGCAUACGCCCUACGGGGGAACGCAGGGGAUCGUAAGACCUUGCACUAUUGGAGCGGCCGAUAUCGGAUUAGCUAGUUGGUGAGGUAACGGCUCACCAAGGCGACGAUCCGUAGCUGGUUUGAGAGGACGACCAGCCACACUGGGACUGAGACACGGCCCAGACUCCUACGGGAGGCAGCAGUGGGGAAUUUUGGACAAUGGGGGCAACCCUGAUCCAGCCAUCCCGCGUGGGCGAUGAAGGCCUUCGGGUUGUAAAGCACUUUUGGCAGGAAAGAAACGUCGCGGGCUAAUACCCCGUUGAACUGACGGUACCUACAGAAUAAGCACCGGCUAACUACGUG
rnacentral:rRNA from 1 species